GCGCGUGAGGGAGCACUCUCCCCUGUGUGCUCCCUCUUCAGCUCCUUCGUGCACCACACUGAUACCGGACCGGAAGAUGAUGUCAUCUUCCGGCUCCGGCGUCAGUACGCAGCGUGAGGGAGCUGAAGAGGGAGCACACAGAGGAGAGUGCUUCCUCUCGCGC